AUACGCUGGCGGCGUGCCUAACACAUGCAAGUCGAACGAGUUGUUUAUAGUAGCAAUAUUGUGAACAGCAAGUGGCGAACGGGUGAGUAACACGUAGAUAAUCUGCCUUUCAGACGGGGAUAACUCAGGGAAACUUGUGCUAAUACCCGAUGAGACUACGAGGGGGGGCCUUCGCAGCCAAAGGUGGGCGAAAGCUCACGCUGGAAGAUGAGUCUGCGUCCUAUCAGCUAGUUGGUGGGGUAAAAGCCUACCAAGGCGAAGACGGGUAGCCGGCCUGAGAGGGUGAACGGCCACACUGGGACUGAGACACGGCCCAGACUCCUACGGGAGGCAGCAGUGAGGAAUUUUCCGCAAUGGGCGCAAGCCUGACGGAGCGACGCCGCGUGAGGGAUGACGGCCUUCGGGUUGUAAACCUCUUUUAUUAAGGAAAAAGGCAAUCGUGCUAACACCACGGUUGUUUGAUGGUACUUAUUGAAUAAGCCCCGGCUAACUACGUG
rnacentral:rRNA from 1 species